AUGGUAGGAUAGAGGCCUACCAUGGUUUUAACGGGUAACGGGGAAUUAGGGUUCGAUUCCGGAGAGGGAGCCUGAGAAACGGCUACCACAUCCAAGGAAGGCAGCAGGCGCGCAAAUUACCCAAUCCCGACACGGGGAGGUAGUGACAAUAAAUAACAAUAUGGGGCUCUUACGAGUCUUGUAAUUGGAAUGAGUACAAUUUAAAUCUCUUAACGAGGAACAAUUGGAGGGCAAGUCUGGUGCCAGCAGCCGCGGUAAUUCCAGCUCCAAUAGCGUAUAUNAAAGUUGUUGCAGUUAAAAAGCUCGUAGUUGAAUUUCGGGAUUUAUCCGUCGGUCGGGCUUUUGGGUCUGUACUGGCGUGAUGGAUUCCUACCUUCUGAAUAACCGGCAUGUCAUUAAUUUGGUGCGCCGGGGAAGCAGGACUGUUACCUUGAAAAAAUUAGAGUGCUUAAAGCAGGCUUAUGCCUGAAUACAUUAGCAUGGAAUAAUGAAAUAGGACGGCAUGGUUCUAUUUUGUUGGUUUCUAGGAUCACCGUAAUGAUUAAUAGGGAUAGUUGGGGGCAUUAGUAUUCAAUUGUCAGAGGUGAAAUUCUUGGAUUUAUUGAAGACUAACUUCUGCGAAAGCAUUUGCCAAGGAUGUUUUCAUUAAUCAAGAACGAAAGUUAGGGGAUCGAAGACGAUCAGAUACCGUCGUAGUCUUAACCAUAAACUAUGCCGACUAGGGAUCGGACGAUGUUAAUUUUUUAAUGACUCGUUCGGCGCCUUACGGGAAACCAAAGUGUUUGGG
rnacentral:rRNA from 1 species